rfam:Oryza glumipatula chromosome 6, whole genome shotgun sequence.
UUGACUUUUUUCUAGUCAAACUUUUUUAAGUUUGACUAAGUUUAUAGAAAUUUAUAGCAACAUUUCCAACACAAAACAAACAUAUUACCAAAAUAUAUUCAAUGUCAUAUUUAAUGAAACUAAUUUGGUGUUGUAGAUGCUGCUAAAUUUUCUAUAAACUUGGUUAAACCUAAAAAGUUUGACUAGGAAAGAAGUCAA